rnacentral:rRNA from 1 species
AACGAACGCUGGCGGCAUGCCUAACACAUGCCAGUCGAACGAGACCUUCGGGUCUAGUGGCGCACGGGUGCGUAACGCGUGGGAACCUGCCCUUAGGUUCGGAAUAACUCCCCGAAAGGGGUGCUAAUACCGGAUAAUGUCUUCGGACCCAAGAUUUAUCGCCUUUGGAUGGGCCCGCGUUGGAUUAGCUAGUUGGUAGGGUAAAAGCCUACCAAGGCGACGAUCCAUAGCUGGUCUGAGAGGAUGAGCAGCCACACUGGGACUGAGACACGGCCCAGACUCCUACGGGAGGCAGCAGUGGGGAAUAUUGGACAAUGGGCGGAAGCCUGAUCCAGCAAUGCCGCGUGAGUGAUGAAGGCCUUAGGGUUGUAAAGCUCUUUUACCCGGGAUGAUAAUGACAGUACCGGGAGAAUAAGCUCCGGCUAACUCCGUG